CCUACGGGGGGCUGCAGUGGGGAAUAUUGGGCAAUGGGCGCAAGCCUGACCCAGCAACGCCGCGUGAAGGAAGAAGGCCUUCGGGUUGUAAACUUCUUUUAAGAGGGAAGAGCAGAAGACGGUACCUCUUGAAAAAGCCACGGCCAACUACGUGCCAGCGGCCGCGGUAAAACGUAGGUGGCAAGGGUUUUCCGGAUUUGCUGGGUGUAAAGGGCGUGCUGCGGGGAAGACAAGGCGGAUGUGAAAUCCCGCGGCUCAACCCCGGAACUGCCUUUGAAACUGUUUUUCUUGAGUGCCGGAGAGGUCAGCGGAAUUCCUGGUGUAGCGGUGAAAUGCGUAGAUAUAAUGAAGAACACCAGUGGCGAAGGCGGAUGACUGGACGGCAACUGACGGUGAGGCACGAAAGCGUGGGGAGCAAACAGGAUUAGAUACCCCUGUAGUC
rnacentral:rRNA from 1 species